AGUAAUGUGUGUAGCUAACCGAUACUAAUAGCUCGAUUGAUUUACUUUGCUGUGAGAUUACAUAUGCAUAUAGUGUUAAUGUUAUAAGAGUGUAGUAUCAACUCACAAAGUUAUCAGGUUAAAUAGCUUUAUCAACUAAUAAAAAUGUUAUUGCAUCACUAAUGUUAUACUGUAGCCCCGCCACGAUAUCCAGCAAAAAUUAUUUUGCUGAGUAUCGUAGUAAAAGUUAAGAUAUGAUGUUAAGAAUUUUUUUGAGUCGUGCAACAACAUUAACAGCAAACUAUAAUACAAAUCUAUC
rnacentral:misc_RNA from 1 species